GUCCACGCCGUAAACGAUGAUAACCAGCUGUCCGGGCUCAUAGAGCUUGGGUGGCGCAGCUAACGCAUUAAGUUAUCCGCCUGGGGAGUACGGUCGCAAGAUUAAAACUCAAAGGAAUUGACGGGGGCCUGCACAAGCGGUGGAGCAUGUGGUUUAAUUCGAAGCAACGCGCAGAACCUUACCAGCCUUUGACAUCCUAGGACGGCUUCUGGAGACAGAUUCCUUCCCUUCGGGGACCUAGUGACAGGUGCUGCAUGGCU
rnacentral:rRNA from 1 species